GGGGCCAGCUAACUUCAAAACCGCUUGAGACCUGCGUGCCAGGUCUGCUGGGUUCGAUUCCCAGGUGGUCCCGCCA
rnacentral:tRNA from 1 species